ensembl:lncRNA
CCGCCCCCACCCCACCCCACCCCCCCGCCCCCCCGGACGCCGGGACACCCCCCCCCACUCCCCUCCCCUCCAGCAACGCGCGGCGCUCCCAUCCCCCGGCAGCCCACCAGGUGGCGCUCGCUCCCACCCGGCCGCCGCGCCGACGCCCGUGACGUCAGCCGCCCGGCUCCAUUUGAGCGCCUCUCGGCAGCCGAGAACUCGGACUUCCCGUGUGGCUCACAACAUAACUACUCGGCGUUGCUUCUACAGUGGCUGUGGCUCGACCCCUAGCCUGGGAACCUCCAUAUGCCGCAGCCCCGCGGCGGCAGAUGGCACUCGUUCUGCCGCUUUUUCCUGGCUGUGUGCGAUGCCAUCGCAUGGAUGUCCCCGGGCCUUCGAAGUGCACUCACCUGUCAGUGGACCUUUAGGUGGCUUCCAGAUCUUGGCUCUGGUGAGUAGUGCGGCGACAGACAGAGGGGUGCCCGGGUCUGCUUCCGGGAAAGUUUGGUCCCGGUGAAAUGGAGCUGUUUGGAGGCCGGCUUCGGUCUUUGUGUGGGCCGGCCCGUGUAGGGCUGCUUGGCUGAGACUCUGUCGAGGAGGGAGGCCUUCAGCCACCGGGGCCUCACGGGGCCUCCCCGUGCGGCACCAUCACAGAGCUCUCCGUCACUGCCCCUGGUGGGGGUGAGGGAAGGGGCGUGUUUGGGGGUGGGGUGGGCGGGGUGUGUGCGCGCGCGCGUGCACGCACGCUGGCGGGCGUGGGUGUCCCGGGGCCUGGCCAGCCCUCCGCUAGAGAUCAGCACGCGUGGAUGCUGACG